rnacentral:rRNA from 1 species
UACGUAGGGGGCAAGCGUUGUCCGGAAUCAUUGGGCGUAAAGCGCGUGUAGGCGGCCCGGUAAGUCCGCUGUGAAAGUCGGGGGCUCAACCCUCGAAUGCCGGUGGAUACUGUCGGGCUAGAGUGCGGGAGAGGCGAGUGGAAUUCCUGGUGUAGCGGUGAAAUGCGCAGAUAUCAGGAGGAACACCAAUUGCGAAGGCAGCUCGCUGGAACGUAACUGACGCUGAGGCGCGAAAGCGUGGGGAGCAAACAGG